rnacentral:lncRNA from 1 species
GGAUAAUUAAAGAUGAAGUAUUCCCAGAUGCUCUCGAGUUUUUAGACUGUGUAAGUUAACUUUUGAAUUUUGAUUAAAAGUGAUAAUUUUUUAAUGUUUUGCACCAAUCAAAUAGAGACUACGGUAGUUUUGUAGCGAGUGAAAUUCAAACAUACAACUAUUUUCUAUGAUAUGUGAUUAACUACACUACUCAUAAUACCUUGACCUAGCUUUUAGGGUUUAUUUAGGCGCAAUCUUUUCACGAUUCUAACAUUAUAUCGAAGUCUAACUUAGGCUUGAUCUAUAUCCAGUUGCAUGUCUAGUCCUAUAAACGUCGUCGCCUACUACAGUGUGUGUUAAGAUUCAUUGUUGUCUAGAUAUAUGGCCGAUGUAAAUUUCAUUUUAUUAUAUUCAUUUUAUAGAUGUUUUGAAAUAUUACAUGUCACUGUGAGUAUAGUAGAAAGUUCUAAUCAUAUUCAUAAUCUCAAGAAACAAAGAAUAUGCUUAAUUACAUAGUGUGAAUAAUAUGCUCCCAAGUCCAAAGCUUAGUUUCCAUUCCUAACUAGUUUUUGAAAUGAACAUAUUUAUAUUUAUAGAUAUUAUGGUGGUGUUAUUAACAAGUGCAAAUUUUUUUCAUUGGUAGGAUCAUAAUAACCUUGAAGGUGAAGGUCCAUCAGAAGAAAGAAAUUAUUAAGUGAUUGAUGACGAUUGAGGAGAAAAAUCAGUGUGACGUACAUUAUCUGACUUUAUUUAUUUAUAGGAGUAUGUUAGUGGUUAUUAAGGGAUGAUGAAAACCAAGGCAUGUUAGUUGUGUCAACAUUUAAAUAUUUUAAUGUUAUUGAUGUUGAAGCACUCUUUGUUUUUU